rnacentral:rRNA from 1 species
GGUGAACGCUGGCGGCGUGCUUAAGACAUGCAAGUCGAACGGCAGUCUUCGGACUGUAGUGGCGCACGGGUGAGUAACGCGUAACUGACCUACCCCAAAGUCGCGGAUAACGAUUCGAAAGAAUCGCUAAUACGUGAUGUGCUGUCAGAUUGUGUUCUGCCAGUAAAGAUUGAUUGCUUUGGGAUGGGGUUGCGUUCCAUCAGCUAGUUGGUGGGGUAAAGGCCCACCAAGGCGACGACGGAUAGCCGGCCUGAGAGGGUGGCCGGCCACAGGGGCACUAAGACACGGGUCCCACCCCUACGGGAGGCAGCAGUUAGGAAUCUUCCACAAGGGGCGAAAGCCUGAUGGAGCGACGCCGCGUGAGGGAUGAAGGUCUUCGGAUCGUAAACCUCUGAAUCAGGGACGAAAGACACUUCGGUGGGAUGACGGUACCUGAGUAAUAGCACCGGCUAACUCCGUGCCAGCCGCCGCCGUAAUAC